UACGUAGGUGACAAGCGUUGUCCGGAUUUACUGGGCGUAAAGAGCGCGCAGGCGGUCGUUCAAGUCGAGUGUGAAAGCCCCCGGCUCAACUGGGGAGGGUCAUUCGAUACUGAUCGACUCGAAGGCAGGAGAGGGAAGUGGAAUUCCCGGUGUAGUGGUGAAAUGCGUAGAUAUCGGGAGGAACACCAGUGGCGAAGGCGACUUCCUGGCCUGGUCUUCACGCUGAGGCGCGAAAGCUAGGGGAGCAAACGGG
rnacentral:rRNA from 1 species